AGGUAUUCUGGGCACUCACCUGGGCCAGGUACCUUGGCUGGAACAAGGAUGACACUCAGGCCUCCCUGGUAUCAUCAUCUAACUGCAGAAGUGUGCAUAGAAGGAACUGAGGGUCACAGGAGCAGAUUGAGGUCUGACUUUCCCCCCUUUUGACUGAUUUGAAUUUCAGCUUUAAGUCAUUUUGCAACCCAAACUUAACACCUCAACUCUGUAAAACCCUCAGCAGCUAAAUGUCAUCCCUUGAGCUGCUUUCUUUUACUUAUCCCCUCAGUUCUGGAGAAGACUCACAAGGCAAAGGCAAGGAUUUUUUUACAAUAGAUUUUAGUUACUACAAGUGACUUGCAGCUAUCUUUUGGAAGGACUUUUUGACCAUCAGAAAUUUGCAGGUGAAAAAAAGUUUUCUACUCAAUCCAAUAGGUUUGCCUUCCAGGAUUCUCCUACGAGUAAAACUACACGUCCCCACACAGUGCUGGUAUUCCUUUCAUCACGUAGGAGCACCUGUAGCACUCUUGCCUAAUAAAGCAUAUUGACUUAUAUUUAAACAGGUGGGUGGCUUGCCCUUUUGCAGCAUUCUGUGCCAUCUGAGUGCCUGUGCUGGCUUCAGGAAGCCUCUUGCUGUCUGCUGCUCCUCUCUGCUGCUCAGCUCACACGGGAGUUUGGGUUGACAGAGUCGAAACGACCUCUGCUUUUAAUAAUUUCCUUUGCACUGUAUCUCUUCAAAAGAGGUCACGGAAAUCAGGGGCCUGUCCCUCUGCCUCCCCUUCCUUAAAAUCACUGUUACAAGUGGCUCUGGGAUGAUCACACCCCCAGCAUUGGAAGCACAGGGGUGGAGUGCCUCUCCAGCAGUUAUUCUAGGAAUACUGACGCACUGAGCCGAGGGAAUGUACAGUGGAUGCUGUGUGUGUGUGUGUGUGUGUGUGUGUGUGUGUGCAGAUGCCUUUGCCACAGCCUUCACCCGGUGUUGUUAAACACAUCCUGAGUGACCUUAUUUGGAGGCCCCAUUCUUGUCACACUGCCCACGACUAAAGAAAACAUCCUGGCUCAGCUCACCUACGUGAAAAAGAUGAGGCUCCCCUCAGGUCUGGAAGGCUGCAAAAUGUUCUGGUUUGGUGUUGAGGCUUGGAAGGCCUGAAGUUUGUCUGGAUUCUGAAAUCUGCCCUGUGCAUACCCAGUCCUCCUGACCUGCCUGCCCAGGCAGUGUGUCUUGUCUGAGAAAGUGUCUUCUUUCUCCUGGUGUGCUUGCUUCCAGGAAUCCUGGGGACACAGAUACACAGCCUCAACGAGAAAGUCACUUCAGUCAUCUAUCUCCAAUUAUAAUUCACUGCAAGGUGCCUAAAAGCAGGCUGAUGGUUUUAUUUUUGGAAACGUCUUUGGUUUAUGUAAAGUUUCUUAUUUCCCAAUAUUGUUAUCUCAGCUUGGACUAGAAACAUCCAGGAGCCCCUUAUGAUCUAGUAUCCAAUGACAUCUGCCACUACAUUCAUCGUCCUUUUCCAAUAAACUAAAUUGAUAUUUUCCCCUUGUUAGGCAGAAGAUAAGGAUUGAUAAUAAACUUUGUUGUAACCUAAUUUUAAACUUACUCAAAUCUCUUGGUUUCACAUGUUUCACUCAGAUCUGUCUCCUUGAAGAAGAGAUAAAAAAGGCUUAAGUUAAAGAAAUUCGGAAUGGAAAAUGAAAAGAGGGAGAGGGUAAUGCAGUGAAAUAAGAAAAUAUGCAGACAUCAUCAUCAGCCAAGGGCACUUUUACUGUGGGACAGUAAUAACAGAGCAUGUGACUGAUAUGGUUAGAGCUGCCUCAGUGCAAUUGCAGGUUUUGCUCUUUAGCUCUGAGACUUAUUUUUUGUGGGAUUUCUUUGAAACUAAAACUUCAUUGGAGAAAUUUUUGCUGUCUGUAAGUUUUAAGAGUAAUUUUUUUAACACAAAAGCCUAAAUAAUAAAUGAAGAAAGUAAUGACUGAACAUUGUCCUUGUGCUCAGUGUUUCUAAUGCAAGUUAAAAUAUAAAGAUUCCCUAAGC